ensembl:lncRNA LINC02013 long intergenic non-protein coding RNA 2013
UUUAUUCUACACAUGGAAGCUUUACUAUAGUUAUAAAAUAUAAAUGUGAUCAUGUAAUUUCCCUGCUUAAAACACUGUAGUGUUACUCCAAUGUCAUCUGGAUAAAUCCACACUUGUUAUCAUACUUUGGACUUCUUAGCAUGGUUCAGGAGGUUUAUUUCAAGUAUCAACCUCUCCUACACACACACACGCACACCACCUGAUGUUCCUCACAGUGAGUGUCUAUCAUGGCUGUAAACGUGUUCCUGCCCAAGGAAGAGGAUCUCUGUAACCCCUCUCAUACUUCCUAUUGCCCAGGACACUGGACCUGCAAUGCCUCCUAUGAGACUACAUACAGUGGGCGUGUUAUGGAUGGCUGAAGCACAGCACGGUACUGUUGUAACAAGAAACAGCCUCUUCUGUAAGGGACAAAUUGCCGAGAGUGCAGCUUUUGGUUUGAGUAAAACAGAAAAGGAGAAAAUUGACCCACAUGUGCCAAUAAAAAAGAACAUCAUUUAAAUAAAAGACCCGUAUUAACCAUUUAAAA